rnacentral:rRNA from 1 species
UACAGAGGGUGCGAGCGUUAAUCGGAAUUACUGGGCGUAAAGCGCGCGUAGGCGGUUGUGUAAGUUGGAGGUGAAAUCCCCGGGCUUAACCUGGGCACUGCCUUCAAAACUGCACGGCUAGAGUACGGGAGAGGGGGGUAGAAUUCCAGGUGUAGCGGUGAAAUGCGUAGAGAUCUGGAGGAAUACCGAUGGCGAAGGCAGCCCCCUGGCCUGAUACUGACGCUGAGGUGCGAAAGCAUGGGGAGCAAAC